rnacentral:misc_RNA from 1 species
GAUGAAGAACGUAGUGAAACGCGAUAUGUAAUGUGAAUUGCAGAAUUCAGUGAAUCAUCGAAUCUUUGAACGCACAUUGCGCCCCCUGGUAUUCCGGGGGGCAUGCCUGUCCGAGCGUCAUUACAACCCUCAAGCUCAGCUUGGUGUUGGGCCCCGCCGCCCCGGCGGGCCCUAAAGUCAGUGGCGGUGCCGUCCGGCUCCGAGCGUAGUAAUUCUUCUCGCUCUGGAGGUCCGGUCGUGUGCUCGCCAGCAACCCCCAAUUUUUUUCAGGUUGACCUCGGAUCAGGUAGGGAUACCCGCUGAACUUAAGCAUAUCAAUAAGCGGAGGA